GUAGUUAGCCGGGGCUUCCUCCUUGGCUACCGUCACUUCUUCGUCACCAAGAACAGAGGUUUACAAUCCGAAAACCUUCUUCCCUCACGCGGCGUUGCUGGGUCAGGCUUGCGCCCAUUGCCCAAUAUUCCCCACUGCUGCCUCCCGUAGGAGUCUGGACCGUGUCUCAGUUCCAGUGUGGCCGAUCAGCCUCUCAGCUCGGCUACCCAUCGUUGACUAGGUGGGCCGUUACCCCGCCUACUAUCUAAUGGGACGCGAGCCCCUCCUUCUGCGAAUUGCUCCUUUGACCUCUCUGCCAUGCGACAGUGUGGUCUUAUGCGGUAUUAGCAACAAUUUCUUGUUGUUAUCCCCCUCAGAAGGACAGGUUGCUCACGCGUUACUCACCCGUUCGCCACUAAGCUACCAAUCGAAGUCAAUAGCUCCGUUCGACUUGCAUGUGUUAGGCACGCCGCCAGCGUUCGUCCUGAGCCAGGAUCAAACUACUGA
rnacentral:rRNA from 1 species